rnacentral:rRNA from 1 species
ACUCCUACGGGAGGCAGCAGUCGAGAAUCUUCCGCAAUGGGCGAAAGCCUGACGGAGCGACGCCGCGUGGAGGACGAAGGCCUUAGGGUUGUAAACUCCUGUCACCGAUUAUGAAUGGCGGCAAGUGAACAGUUUGUCGUUUGACGUAAGUCGGGAAGGAAGCACCGGCUAACUCUGUGCCAGCAGCCGCGGUAAUACAGAGGGUGCAAACGUUGUUCGGAAUUACUGGGCAUAAAGCGCACGUAGGCGGCCCGAAAAGUGCGAAGUGAAAUCCCACGGCUUACCCGUGGACGUGCUUUGCAUACUGUCGGGCUGGAGGACGGUAGAGGAGAGCGGAACUCUUGGUGGAGCGGUGAAAUGCGUAGAUAUCAAGAGGAACACCAAAGGCGAAGGCAGCUCUCUGGUCCGUUUCUGACGCUGAGGUGCGAAAGCCAGGGUAGCGAACGGGAUUAGAUACCCUGGUAGGCUCU